UACGGGGGGGCAAGCGUUGUUCGAAAUUACUGGGCGUAAAGGGCUCGUAGGCGGCCAACUAAGUCAGACGUGAAAUCCCUCGGCUUAACCGGGGAACUGCGUCUGAUACUGGAUGGCUUGAGGUUGGGAGAGGGAUGCGGAAUUCCAGGUGUAGCGGUGAAAUGCGUAGAUAUCUGGAGGAACACCGGUGGCGAAGGCGGCAUCCUGGACCAAUUCUGACGCUGAGGCGCGAAAGCUAGGGUAGCAAACAGG
rnacentral:rRNA from 1 species